CUGGCGGCAUGCCUUACACAUGCAAGUCGAACGGCAGCGCGGGGCAACCUGGCGGCGAGUGGCGAACGGGUGAGUAAUGUAUCGGAACGUACCCUGGAGUGGGGAUAACGUAGCGAAAGUUACGCUAAUACCGCAUACGAUCUACGGAUGAAAGUGGGGGAGUCGCAAGACCUCAUGCUCGUGGAGCGGCCGAUAUCUGAUUAGCUAGUUGGUAGGGUAAAGCCACCAAGGCAUCGAUCAGUAGCUGGUCUGAGAGGACGACCAGCCACACUGGAACUGAGACACGGUCCAGACUCCUACGGGAGGCAGCAGUGGGGAAUUUUGGACAAUGGGCGCAAGCCUGAUCCAGCAAUG
rnacentral:rRNA from 1 species